rnacentral:rRNA from 1 species
GACGUAGGGCGCGAGCGUUGUCCGGAUUUAUUGGGCUUAAAGCGCUCGUAGGCGGCUCGUUGCGUCAAUCGUGAAAACCUACUGCUUAACGGUGGGCUUGCGGUUGAUACGGGCGGGCUGGAGUUCGGUAGGGGAGAGUGGAAUUCCUGGUGUAGCGGUGAAAUGCGCAGAUAUCAGGAGGAACACCGGUGGCGAAGGCGGGUCGCUGGGCCGAUACUGACGCUGAGGAGCGAAAGCGUGGGGAGCGAACAGG